GGGAAGUUUCUUGCGAUUUUUUUUUCAUUUUUGAUACUCAUUGAUCUAAUUACAUUAAGUCUUUGUUUGGUUAGGGGUCAAGGGAUGGAAUAAUCUCUUAACCUCAUAUUAUUUCCAAACACCUCCAAAAAUUAGUGGGAUUAAUUAAUCCCACCUCAAAUGGGCUAUCCCGGGUUAGCUAACCCCACCUAACCCUAACCAAAUAUUAUUUUCUAUUCAUAAUAACCCUCUUUUUUUCUUAUCUCAUUUACUCCAAUUAAACACUAUUUUUUACUAUUCUGAGCUAACUUUAAUCCCCAACCAAAUACAAAAAUACUCUAAUUUCAUCUUAAUUCUGAAUUUAACUCUAUUUCUGAAAUAAUUAAUUUUUUUUUACUUCCGAAUCGAGCGGUAGCUUAAAAAAUAGAAAACGAAAAAGAAAAUAGUAGAGUAGGAUUGCUAGGCCGGCACCAGGAUCAAAACGCAUUCAAAGGUUACAUCACCCAUCAAUUCUCAUAAAUUAUUGUUACCCCUNCUGCUGUAAUUGGAACCAGGAGGAUGAAAUCAAGUUAAAGCUUAAGCAAUUCUUUACAAUUAACUCAACCGGUUAAAAUUGGGGAAGUUUCUUGCGAUUUUUUUUUCAUUUUUGAUACUCAUUGAUCUAAUUACAUUAAGCUUUUGUUUGUUGGGAGUUAAGGGGUGGAAUAACCUCUUAACCCUCAUAUUAUUUCCAAACACUUCUAAAAAUAUAUAGGGUUAGCUAAUCCCAUCUCAAAUGGGUUAUUCCGGAUUAGCUAAUCCUACCUAACCCCAACCAAACACUAUUUUCUAUUCAUAAUAACCCACUAUUCUUCUUAUCCCACCUAUUUUAACCAAACACUAUUUUUCACUAUCGUGGACUAACUCCAACCCCCAACGAAACACAAAAAUAUUUUAAUCCCAUCUUAAUUCUGAAUUUAAUCCUAUUUCUAGAAUAGAUAGUUUUUUCAAAUAGAUAGUUUUUUUUUAAUCCUAAAUCAUACGGUAGCUAAAAAAAUAGAAAAGGAAAAAGAAAAUAGUAGAGUAGGAUUGCUAGGCCGGCACCAGGAUCCAAACGCAUUCAAAGGUUACAUCACCCAUCAAUUCUCAUAAAUUAUUAUUACCNUUAAGCAAUUCUUUACAAUUAACUCAACCGGUUAAAAUUGGGGAAGUUUCUUGCGAUUUUUUUUUCAUUUUUGAUACUCAUUGAUCUAAUUACAUUAAGUCUUUGUUUGGUUAGGGGUCAAGGGAUGGAAUAAUCUCUUAACCUCAUAUUAUUUCCAAACACCUCCAAAAAUUAGUGGGAUUAAUUAAUCCCACCUCAAAUGGGCUAUCCCGGGUUAGCUAACCCCACCUAACCCUAACCAAAUAUUAUUUUCUAUUCAUAAUAACCCUCUUUUUUUCUUAUCUCAUUUACUCCAAUUAAACACUAUUUUUUACUAUUCUGAGCUAACUUUAAUCCCCAACCAAAUACAAAAAUACUCUAAUUUCAUCUUAAUUCUGAAUUUAACUCUAUUUCUGAAAUAAUUAAUUUUUUUUUACUUCCGAAUCGAGC
rnacentral:lncRNA from 1 species